rnacentral:rRNA from 1 species
UACAGAGGUCUCAAGCGUUGUUCGGAUUCAUUGGGCGUAAAGGGUGUGUAGGUGGCGCCGUAAGUCGGGUGUGAAAUUUCGGAGCUUAACUCCGAAACUGCAUUCGAUACUGCGGUGCUUGAGGACUGGAGAGGAGACUGGAAUUCAUGGUGUAGCAGUGAAAUGCGUAGAGAUCAUGAGGAAGACCAGUGGCGAAGGCGGGUCUCUGGACAGUGCUUGACACUGAGACACGAAGGCCAGGGGAGCAAACGGG